rnacentral:misc_RNA from 1 species
GAUGAAGAACGUAGCGAAAUGCGAUAAGUAAUGUGAAUUGCAGAAUUCAGUGAAUCAUCGAAUCUUUGAACGCACAUUGCGCCCGCCAGUAUUCUGGCGGGCAUGCCUGUUCGAGCGUCAUUUCAACCCUCAAGACCCCUUCGGGGGACUUGGUGUUGGGGACCGGCACAGGGGCCUGCCUGCUUGUCUUGCAGCGCCCUCGCCGCCCCCGAAAUGAAUUGGCGGCCUCGUCGCGGCCUCCCCUGCGUAGUAGCACAACCUCGCAACGGGAACGUGACGGCGGCAACUGCCGUAAAACAACCCCAAUUUUAUUAGAGUUGACCUCGAAUCAGGUAGGAAUACCCGCUGAACUUAAGCAUAUCAAUAAGCGGAGGA